GCUGUCAUCAUUCCUGCUUUUCAUCUCUGCCAGUCAGUGACAAUGCAACAUUCAGGCUUUGACAAAUAUUGGUUUCCAGGUCAACUAAUGCAACAUCCCCCAGCCUCUUGCUCUCAAAUGGUAUGCUUGAGCCUUGGACCAAGGUAAAGUCUCUUUUGUCAACUAGUCUUGCUUUGGAAGAAGUGUUUUCUUUCUGAAGAUCUCCUUGAACCGGUUUAAGUUCUUCAAUGAGGACAUGGAGAUGAGACAACUCCCUCUGUGCUCUGGCAGACUUCUACACUCCUCAAUCACCUAAAUUAUCUAAAGCACAGCCAUUGUGGACAGUGAGUAUGUGUGCUACAAAUGCAGGCAUGUGAGACGAUGGGAAGUCCAUGUAGUUUUAGUGAUUGAGGUCUUGAAUUUCAGUUAUUGUAUGGGCAAACGUCAGCUGU